rnacentral:Y_RNA from 1 species
GGCUGGUCCGAAGGUAGUGAGUUAUCUCACUUGAUUGUUCACAGUCAGUUAUAGAUUGAACUCCUUGUUCUACUACUUCCCCUUCUUUUCAAUACUGCACUUGACUAGUCUUAA